CCUGGAGGCCGACCAGAGGUGAGAGGCUGUGUGAUUAUGAGCUCAUGCAACCACUCGGCCAUAUGGAGGUCCCUACUGUUGAUACUAAAUAGAUAUUUAGAAGGAGUAGGUUGCGUCCUUUACCAAAAUUAAAAAUUUCAUCAUUCUAGGGGGUAGGGAUUUUGUUCCAGGGUGGAGCCAAAAUAAUUAUAGUAAUUAUCACUGUCAUGAUCGUGUGCAGGAUUGAACAAAACAAGAUGGCAGACGGCAUUUCCAAACAAAGAUCCAGUCAGGAGCGGACUUCCUUAAACUUAAAAGUUGCAAGUGAAUGAAGUGUGUUCUAUUUUAUGUCUCCUACUAAAACCAUGGUUUUGACAAACCUAGAAGAGCACGUGGAGCAAGGAACUAUCAGUAAGCCGGAAGAGCCAGCUCAAAAAUCUUUAAGUGUUUGAGAAUUUCACCGCGCACAUGAGUCUAAAGUUCUGCACACGUUAGAAGGAGCCUUGUUCUCGGAGAUCAACAUGUUGAAAAGUCUUCAUUUUGCAGAAGCAAAUACAUUUAUAUUGUAUAUACACGUGUAGACCAUGUUCGAUUCCCAACCACUUAAAAUUUGUGAUAUCUGCAUGGAAUUAUUAAAACUGAGCAUGGUUUGACGUAUCUCUUUAGGAACGAUGGUUUACAUUUCACAAAGCUGUUCAAUGACAAUAAAGACAAUAAGAUGU